rfam:Pedobacter ginsenosidimutans strain KACC 14530 contig03, whole genome shotgun sequence.
UGGAACAAUGGCGAUGGAGUACCGCCAAAACCGCCCAAACAGGCUGAUGACUCCUACGAUUUU